AUGGACCACGCAUACGCUGCGGGUCUGCGUGCGCCGUCCGCACCCACCUGACGACUGCUCGCUACGUUUUGUUAGCC
rnacentral:sRNA from 2 species